GUAGGUGGCAAGCGUUGUCCGGAAUUAUUGGGCGUAAAGCGCGCGCAGGCGGUUCUUUAAGUCUGAUGUGAAAGCCCACGGCUCAACCGUGGAGGGUCAUUGGAAACUGGAGAACUUGAGUACAGAAGAGGAAAGCGGAAUUCCACGUGUAGCGGUGAAAUGCGUAGAGAUGUGGAGGAACACCAGUGGCGAAGGCGGCUUUCUGGUCUGUAACUGACGCUGAGGCGCGAAAGCGUGGGGGAGCAAACAGGAUUAGAUACCCUGGUAGUCCACGCCGUAAACGAUGAGUGCUAAGUGUUAGGGGGUUUUCCGCCCCGUUAGUGCUGCAGCUAACGCAUUAAGCACUCCCGCCUGGGAGUACGGCCGCAAGGCUG
rnacentral:rRNA from 1 species